CCUACGGGAGGCAGCAGUGGGGAAUAUUGGACAAUGGGCGAAAGCCUGAUCCAGCCAUGCCGCGUGUGUGAAGAAGGUCUUCGGAUUGUAAAGCACUUUAAGUUGGGAGGAAGGGCAUUAACCUAAUACGUUAGUGUUUUGACGUUACCGACAGAAUAAGCACCGGCUAACUCUGUGCCAGCA
rnacentral:rRNA from 1 species